rnacentral:tRNA from 1 species
UCCUUGUUAGCUCAGUUGGUAGAGCGUUCGGCUUUUAGAACCGAAAUGUCAGGGGUUCGAGCCCCCUAUGAGGAG